rnacentral:lncRNA from 12 species
CCCACAUAGAAAGAUUGAUCCUAAGAGUGAACCCCUACAAACUUCAGCACCACGUCUAGUAUUUUAAUAACCAGCUAAUAUUUAGCCCAUCCAUUAAGUAAAUGAAUAAUUGAGCGUAAUCUGCUCUCCCGUGCCCACCUUCCUUUCCCACAAGGCUGUGGUUUUUAGCUAAGCCGGCGUGGAGCUGCUCCCAUCUCCGAAUAAAACAUCGGAGCCGAGGGAAGGAGGAGGAGAGGCAGCGGCAGCGGAGCCGCGGCGGCGCGGCGACAGUCGCCCUGCUGUCCCACGGGCACCCAAGGGUGCGGGGGGAGCGGGGACGGCGCAGGGACAGGGACAGGGACACGGACACAGCCGUGCCCGCCAGAUCGGAAGGUCCCACGGGCACCCAAGGGUGCGGGGGGAGCGGGGACGGCGCAGGGACAGGGACAGGGACACGGACACAGCCGUGCCCGCCGGGCGGUGGGUGCUGCCGGCGCUCCAGAGCCGCCACCGCCGAACAUGAAACCCUGGCAGCUGCUCGCAGGCGUGGGAGAUGCCCUUCAGGACACUAAAGCAGAGUGCAGUUCUGCUGUAGAAACUGAGGACAGAAAAGUAAGUGGCUUGUUUUAAUGUGGUUUCUCAGGCAGCUCUAGUAGCUGGAAUUUUCUCUGGUUGUUCUUUAGGUUUGUUUUUUUUCUUUUUUUAAAUUAAAUCAUGUGAAAUUAUUUUAUGGUUCUUUACAUUUGUAUUUAACCUCAGUGGGAACAAAACAGUCUUACUCUAUUGAACUUGUU